GGCUAAAGGCCUAGAAUGAUUGGUUUAGUAUUUGGCCUGCUGUGUGGACUUCAGGCAUCCAGGAAAUUCAUUUGCUGGUUCUUGCAAAGAGCUAGUCACAUGUAACACACGACCACCCACCUUCUGGCAACUGAGCAAGAGAAGAGCGAGCCUGAGGUCCGAGUGUCCCUGCCAAAGGAGUGAACUGCCCAUUUGUGGGACUGAUGUCAUCUAGAAUAUCUCAUCUAUAGAGUCACACCUGAGGCUGUGCAUCUCUGAGCAACCUCAUCAGCAUCACUGCUGUGCCCAUCUGCAUUUGUUCCUGUUCCCCACAAGAUUGUUGUGCGCCAUUAGUGGCCUAAAUUUGCUACAAUGCAAAGAAAAUGACAAACUUUAUGUCUUUAUGUUUAAAAAAAACUUUAAAAAAGGCAGUGU